rnacentral:rRNA from 1 species
UACAGAGGUCUCAAGCGUUGUUCGGAAUCACUGGGCGUAAAGGGUGUGUAGGCUGCGUGUUAAGUCAGAUGUGAAAUCCCGGGGCUCAACUCCGGGCCUGCAGCCGAUACGGGCAGACUAGAGUUCGGCAGGGGAGACUGGAAUUCCUGGUGUAGCGGUGAAAUGCGCAGAUAUCAGGAGGAACACCGGUGGCGAAGGCGGGUCUCGUGGGCCGAUACUGACGCUGAGGAGCGAAAGCGUGGGGAGCGAACAGG